UAUUUAGUUAAAAAUUUCAAA
rnacentral:piRNA from 1 species